rnacentral:tRNA from 1 species
UGUGAUGUAGCUCAAUGGCAGAGUGCUUGCCUAGCACGCGCAGGAGUUUGGGUUCAAUUCUCAGCCCGAGGUAG